UUAUCUGAGUACUAUUUGCUUAUAGGUUGACACUUUUCCAUGGCCACCCCCAUUGAAGCCAUUGGCUUCUUUUCUAUUCACUACCCUGUAGACUGUAGUUAUGGAAAUUCCACAUUUCACAUCUAACCUAUACUUUGAAGCUUCUUUCCAACCCAAUGACACUGCACUUCGAAUUAAAAGUUUUCUUUCUAAGAACCAUUAACGUCCAUGGAGUUUGCAUCCCUUCCCUCCAACUCUUCUUACCAGAGAUGGGAAAAGUUAUUUGCUACAAACUAAACAAAUACCAAGGCAACGGUUCAUAUGCAUCCCACCACCUCCUCGGCGAGCUAUGGUGGUCGCACCGCGUAUAGCCUAAGAAGGUCUUUGUUCAUUACUUGCUUCCCAAGUUAGCUGUCCUAGAAAAGCUUUACAUAAGUUAUGUUUAGUUGUUCACUUUAAUGCCGAAUUAAUUAACCAUCUAUCAUGUAGAGUUAAAUACUUGUGAAGGGGGUUUUAAAGUUCAUGGGGCUGCUCCUUACGUUGGUAGCACCAGACUCUGACGGCUGUUGACAAAGAGACAAAGACUUUUUCUGUUGGUUUUUUCGAAAACCAUGCUCUCCUUGCAUGUCCCUGUUACUGCUAAGUGGCACUACAUGUCUUUGCCAUGGUGUAUGUGUUCUUAUCUUUCAGUUCCGUUCAACAUUACAAGUUACUAGUACUUUCUUGUUUUGCUUUAAUGGCUUGGUCUGCAUGGUUGGCUCCCACCCUCUUUUACACGUAUAGUAAGCAAGUUUUAAACCCUGGAUCUAUCUGUCAAUUAAGAGGUGAACAGGACCAGAGAUAUUUUGUGUCUGUAGAUGUAGACAAAAACAAUGACAAAUGAAAUGACGUCAUGUUUUAGUUGUUUUACUCUUCAAAUGCUCUCUAAUUAGAGUUAACUCGUCCUACAUCCUAUUUAGCUUAAAUGUUAAUUGCAGAUGAGUUUGACUUAAUGGCAAUGAAGACAUUCUGAAAAUUUUCAAGUGACAGAAUCAGGAAUUUUAUGCAACUGCAUAUCUUUUGUACCAUUAUAGUUUCACCAUGAUGAAAAACAUAGGUGAUUCAUUUCAAAUGCAAUAGCAAUUGUAUCCACAG
rnacentral:lncRNA from 1 species